rnacentral:piRNA from 2 species
UCAUGUUGAAUUGUGAUCCUGAGUGU